GAUGAACGCUGACAGAAUGCUUAACACAUGCAAGUCUUUGGCGAAGCUGUGCUUGCACCGCCUAGCCAAGGCGGACGGGUGAGUAACGCGUAAGGAACUUGCCCUGCAGUCAGGGAUAACAGACGGAAACGACUGAUAAGACCUGGUAAAGUCAGGCGGACUCACGUCCAGCCUGAUGAAAAGAGAUGCUGCAGGAGAGCCUUGCGUCCUAUUAGCUUGUUGGUGGGGUAACGGCCCACCAAGGCGAUGAUAGGUAGCCGGCCUGAGAGGGUGGACGGCCACAAGGGGACUGAGAUACGGCCCUUACUCCUACGGGAGGCAGCAGUGGGGAAUAUUGGACAAUGGGGGCAACCCUGAUCCAGCAAUUCUGUGUGCACGAUGAAGGUUUUCGGAUUGUAAAGUGCUUUCAGCAGGGAAGAAAAAAAUGACGGUACCUGCAGAAGAAGCGACGGCUAAAUACGU
rnacentral:rRNA from 1 species